UACAUCAUUUUAAUGUUUACAUAUGUACACAUGUAUAUGUUAUACCUUUUAUUUUUGGGGGGGGGCAAGUUUUAGAGCUCAGUCCGCUUCGAUGUGUGCAGAGACAUUGUGACACUUUUCUAAAAUGAAGCAUUAGACACACGUCCUGUAGGGUUCAACUUGAAAAAAACCUUGUAAGCAUGUACAAAGGCAUGAGUCCUCCUGCAGCGGCCGCAGGUUCCAUUCCGACCCCAUCCCUUUGCUGCAUGUCUUCCACAUUCUGUCUCCCUUUCACGCUAACAGCUCUCCUGUACCAAUAAAGGCUGGUUCCAUAAAUUUAAGCCACUGGCUUAUCAUUUAGUUCGGGCAAAUCUCACUCGCCAAUGUUACAAAGAGUGCGGAGUGGUAAUGAAAGAGGCCCUAUUCUCAUUAUUACAAGUCAGUAUCCCAUCAGAAGGACUUUGAAGAGCAGUUGCAUAAUGUUGCUUCAAUCCCUGCGGUGGUCGACCUCCCGCACCGCGUUGUCGAGUGGUUGCGCUCUCCGCCAGCACCUCCAACUCCUUUCUGUGCUCAUAAGUUAACACUCUUGUGAUUGAAUAUAUCUGCAGUGCUAUCACAUUGUGUUUCAUGCCCUACUUAUGUACAACUACUGAGCUUUGGGUUCAUGAAAAGCACUUUAAAAAUUAAAUAUAUUAUUAUUAUUUAUUAUUAUGAGCUCCAAUGGUUGCUCGUGUACAAGCCUUUUGAAGUACAUGAUCAGUGAGUGCCUGACUGAACGUGCUCUGCACUUUUUUGUUAUAUCGUAGUUCAAAAUCAGUGCUGGAUCACCCAAAAAGAUCAUUUGCAGAUGUUCCUCACUGAUUCAUACCGACUGUAAUAGAAAUGGGGAAGAUGAUGAUGGAAAAGUGGAACCUAUUUGCAGCAGGUGCACAGGUCCAAACAGCCUCUAAACCACGAAGUGUGUUCCACAGGACAUUUGCUGUUUUUCACUCAACCAGGCUUAUUAGACAGUUUCUUGUCCUCGUCUCUCUUGAUUUUCUUUGUAAUAAUUACAGCAAAGCAAAUUGUGAAAGGGGCACUCCACCCAAUUCAUACAUUAAGUCUAUUGUAUACAACAUGAGACAUCCUAUUCAGCCUGUGAUGUACAGUAUACUUUCUAAGCUCUGCUCUGGAGGAGAUCUCUGAUGUUCAAAUUAUUCAAAUCAUCCCUUAAGGAUUCAUCAAGUUGCUUUGUUUUUUUUUAAGUUCUUUGUCUUUUUUUAAAUACAUCACAAACUGGAGGAAGUUUGCCCAAAAGUGGCCAUUUAUUUGUCCGGCUGAAGGACUGCUUUGCGGCAUGUGAAAGGAUCCUGUGUUUUUUGUGAAUCUUGACCCACACAAGCCUAAAUCGGAGGAUAUCUCUGUCUCUGCUGCUUCAAUUUUCACCAUUGCUUUUGGUGUCAAUCUUCAGUGCUGCCGUCCACACUGGCCUGUGCUGAAUAAACACAAUGGCUUGUGCUUCACUUACACUUAGAUGUGUAAUUGCAUGUGUCUCACUAGCCUUCCAAGACUGCCCUGACCAUGAUUUUGUAUUAAGACGUGAGCUCUGUCACAAGGCCUCUGAGUGCCCGGCUGAACAAUUGCAGCGUGGACAUUGAUUGCUGCCGUUGUGCUGCUUUUGUUGGUCAGCCUUUACAAAGAAGGUGACAGGAAUCCCGAAGACACAGACGCACUCUCACAGCCCCAGAGGAGCUGUGACUAACGUCGCUAACAAAACGAUAGAAAAUAACAGUGCUGGUUAUUUUAUCUUGGUUUAAACAAGCCAGUUUCCUCUUUAUCUUUUCAAAAAGACCUGAAGAAAGAAAGCCGCUGUAAGAAAAUACAACAUCAGCGAUGAAAGCUUGUGGCAUUGUAUUUGUAAACAGUUCAUAACAGUCCCUUAAUCUUAAAUAUUUCUGAAGUGCUUCCUAUGGGAACCUGAGAUGCCUCCACUUUAAGGGUGAUGAAUGUGGUUUUUUUAAAUAAUGAAAAACAACAGUUUCAGACAGAAGAGCCUAUUAGUGUCUCAAGUUGGAAUGUUUCCCUGGAAACUGCCGGGUCCUCUUACAACUACUAAAACCUGACUGUUUCCCCAAGCGGCUCCACUUCACUGCCUCCUCUCAUUUCACCUCCUCUGUUUUCUUCCCCUCUAUGCAUCCCCCUCUCCUUCUUCAGCCUCGCAGCCUAUUUUCCUUUCUUUCCAUCAUUCUAUGCUCAACUCGUCUGUUCGCAACUUCAACUGCAGCUGCUGUGUCUCAGUUCGCGUACUUCCAUAUACUCACACUUGCUAUCUCUGAGUGGCCAAGUGUGUUCACACUGAGUACGGCAACACUUAAGUGUGAAAAAUUGGACAAUUCUCACCCCCAACAGUUGACAUUAUUACUACGGAGCGGAAGAACAGGGAUCACCAAUGUAUUUUCGAACUAAUUUUCCCGGAGUUGUGAGUGGUGUAUUUUCUGUUUGUGAAACAGGGGACGCACACAAGAAAGUAAAACGUUCACAGUCAAAAUUGUACAAGAAUUAUUGUGGUGUUAGACGAUAUUUUCUGGUAUGGUAAUGUUUGGUUUUGGUUUUUGGAAUGUUAAAGUUGUGUUUUGUGUAUGGUUUUAUUUGCAGUUUUGAAAAAACGUUUCAAAAGUUUUUCACUCAAAUAAUUCAACAUCUAAUAACACAGCGCAGCACUUAUGUCCAGGAGCGAUUUCUCAGCAUCAACUCCUCUGCAUGUGUGCUGGUAUGGGCUAAACUGCUGCUUGAAAAUCAUCCACUGGGAGAAAUUUGAAAAUAGCGUGUGAGACAAUAAAAAGGUCAGAUGUUUAAUGGUAGUUUGAUCGACCAGCUUCUUCUGUCCACAUGUCAAAGUGUCUUUUAUUAGUCGCGCUGGUCAAAAGUCUGUCAAAUUAAAAUAAUGAAGUUAAUAAAUUUGUUGGGUAAGAUGUACAUCAAUACGACUUUUUAGUGGUGGUUCGUAUAUUUUGCCCGACUUUAAACGUUGACCAUUUUCUGGCCAUUGAAUGACUCUUUGUGAGCAAAUAUUUACCAUAUGUAUGUUUUAUUAUUAUUUCUACAUUGACGAUCCCACUCUUUUGUCUUUGUGCUCAUCCUGAACCCUUUGGGGCGAUUAUACCCACUGCUUUUUGCGGAAACGCCAUGCCUGCCAAAACAAAAAAUAAAUAUUAAUAUCAAA